AGCAGUCGCCGCGGGAAUACGGAGGAUCCAAGCGUUAUCCGGAUUUAUUGGGUUUAAAGGGUGCGUAGGUGGCCUGUUAAGUCAGGGGUGAAAGACGGUAGCUCAACUAUCGCAGUGCCCUUGAUACUGAUGGGCUUGAAUGAACUAGAGGUAGGCGGAAUGUGACAAGUAGCGGUGAAAUGCAUAGAUAUGUCACAGAACACCAAUUGCGAAGGCAGCUUACUAUGGUUUUAUUGACACUGAGGCACGAAAGCGUGGGGAUCAAACAGGAUUAGAUACCCCCGUAGUCCCUGUCUCUUAUAA
rnacentral:rRNA from 1 species